rnacentral:rRNA from 1 species
UGGGGAAUAUUGCACAAUGGGGGAAACCCUGAUGCAGCGACGCCGCGUGAAGGAAGAAGUAUCUCGGUAUAUAAACUUCUAUCAGCAGGGAAGAUAGUGACGGUACCUGACUAAGAAGCCCCGGCUAACUACGUGCC